rnacentral:rRNA from 1 species
AUGAGGCCCACAGCGACGGGGCCGGGCGGCGGCGUGGUGAGGCGGAAGGCGGGGGCGGCCGCCGCCGCGGCGGCGGCGAGCCGGGAGUGGCUGGUGGUGCCGGCGUCGGGGCGGGCGCGGGUGGAGGAGGCCGGGAAGCACGCGGUGAUGGCGCGUACGGGGCUGCCGGCGCGGGACCUGAGGGUGCUCGACCCGCUGCUGUCCUACCCGUCCACGAUCCUCGGCCGCGAGCGCGCCAUCGUCGUCAACCUCGAGCGCGUCAAGGCCGUCAUCACCGCCGCCGAGGUGCUGCUCCCCAACUCCAAGGACCCCGACUUCGCGCGCUUCGUCCGCGACCUCCAGGCCCGCGUGCUCGCUUACUCCGCGGACCAGGCUGCAGAGUUUACUGAUAUGGAUGGUGAAUCAUCUGCAAUUGCUUCACCAUUUCCUGCUCCUAGUUCAUCUAAAGGACAUGAACUGGAGAUGGCUAAGAGGACUCCUAAUGCGGUGGGUGAAAUGACUCACAGCAGCAGUGUGCCCACAUUGACUGCUAUGAAAGAUGGAAGCACCAAGGUUUUACCCUUUGAAUUCCGUGCGCUUGAAGUGUGUCUCGAGUCAGCUUGUAGAUCUCUGGAAGAGGAGACUGUGACUCUGGAGAAAGAGGCAUAUCCAGCAUUGGAUGAGCUAACUUCAAAGAUCAGUACCCUGAAUCUUGAGCGAGUUAGGCAAAUUAAGAGCCGGCUGGUGGCAAUCUCUGGACGCGUGCAGAAGGUGAGGGAUGAGCUUGAGCAUCUAUUGGACGAUGAAAUGGAUAUGGCCGAAAUGUACUUGACAGAAAAACUUGCUCGAGAAGAUAUCAGUGAGACUUCAUCUAGAGUUGAGGUUGAUGAUCAUGAUCAUGAUCAUGACCCAUCUCAGUUGGAGGAGGAUAUGGAUGAGGAUUAUCGAAGCGAGCCAGCUGGAACUGCAAGCAAUGGCAGCUCUAUUGGUUAUAAGCCCAACAUUGAAGAACUGGAGAUGCUUUUAGAGGCCUACUUUGUGCAAAUUGACGGUACACUAAAUAAGCUUUCGCAUCUGAGGGAGUAUGUUGAUGACACCGAGGAUUACAUCAACAUAAUGUUGGACGACAAGCAGAAUCAGCUUCUACAGAUGGGGGUCAUGCUCUCGACCGCGACGGUUGUCAUUACUGCCGGAGUGGCUGUCGUUGGUCUUUUCGGGAUGAACAUUGGCAUCUCUCUUUACAAUCCCGUAGGCGAGGAGCAGACGCGAGCAGCACAUGUUAAGUUUUGGGAAACCACUUUCGGCACCAUUGCUGGGUGCACGAUCCUGUAUGUAAUAGCCAUGGGCUGGGGGAAGAGAAGCGGGCUAUUGCAAUGA